rnacentral:rRNA from 1 species
UACGAAGGGGGCUAGCGUUGCUCGGAAUUACUGGACGUAAAGCGCACGUAGGCGGCUUUCUAAGUCGGGGGCUCAACCCUCGAAUGCCGGUGGAUACUGUCGGGCUAGAGUGCGGAAGAGGCGAGUGGAAUUCCUGGUGUAGCGGUGAAAUGCGCAGAUAUCAGGAGGAACACCAAUUGCGAAGGCAGCUCGCUGGGACGUAACUGACGCUGGAGAACGCGAAAGCGUGGGGAGCAAACAGG